GAAAACAUCUUGUAAAAUAUUAUUUACUGUCCUCAUGGCAAAGAUAAACCAGUGAUUAUAAAUGAGUUAAAUGUAAAAUGGGAAAAUUUAAUUGUUUUCAAUUUUUAAAACAAAAAGGCCUCUCAAAUGAUUGAAUUAUGUAGAUUGUUCUACAUAAAUUGAUAUUUGUAUUCAUUUUAAUCACAAAUACGAUGUGAUUCGCCCUCCCAGGUUAAACGUAUCUUGAUUUAGGAAUCUUUAGACAUUGAUCCUGUGAAAACAAGACACUUGUUUUUGUAAAACGUUAUAAUAAAAACAUUAUGCGCAGAGUUCUGGCUAUUUUUCAAGUAUUGGCGAUCAGUACGCAGGUGACAGUCAAACUUCCAAAUUUGUAAUACAAUUUGCUGUGUGCUUCUUAUAAAUUUAAAUGUCGAUAUUGUGCUACGUUCUAAAUAUUUUGGAUUUAGCUCGGUACAGAAAGGUGUUAACGUAUGCUGAAAUCUCGGGAUGAUAAAAUGUUCCAAUCGUUGCAUUUAUUCCUACCUGCCAGUCAAACUAGCCAAUAGCGAGAGUCGGAGGCGGGACUGCUGUCACAAGAUAACCCAGAGGAUGUUUAGUUGUUGAGGAGAAAGAAACGUGGAUUACCUGUUGCAGACGUGCGAGCUCCAGAAUACAAAGUUUUGCACAGAUGUUUGACAGGAACCAGACUCACCAGGUCUGGAUGACGCCACCUGGGCAUGAGAAGCUCCAUAAGUGGAGCUCUGUGGGGUGAACGGAGUGUGCACAUGGUAAACCUUCACAUUGGAGCCCUUUCCAUCCUCUACUGUUGAACAAAAAGAAGAUCGAGCAACACAAGUGCAGACAACAUGCAGAAGCCCACCAAACUGGAUUUUCAAGACUGUGUUCAAGGUUGAUGGAAGGCAGAAAAUCACCUAAAAUGUUGGCAGCAGAGGGUUCAUUUUGCCUUUUAAAGGUAAUUUCCUUUAUGAAACAGAUCCCUAGGUGACAUUUCAAUGCACUUGUGCUGGAACUUUUGAGAGCGUCAUCAGGCAUCUCGAUGUGGUCCUGCAGGGUGUGGUUGAAUACUAGAAGAAACUAUGCUAGAAGAAAGAGCCAACAUGAAGAAGAGAUUAGUGUGUACAGUUCUCAUAAAGCUCAGAAUGACAGGAAGAGAAACAAUGUUUACAAGUGAUUUUACAACUUCCAAACUUGCAACCAGGGGUGUUAAAAGAUACUCAAGUGAAAGUAUGUGAACAUUUUACACAAAAGAACAAGUAUCUGGAUAUACUCUAGUAAAAAGUACGGCUUAAAGUAGUUUUCUUUUUAAUUGAGCAAAGAUCAAAACACAAGAAGAACUUUUUAAAUCAAUUCAAUUCAACUUUAUUUGUAUAGCGCAUUUACAAUGUAGAUUGUGUCAAAGCAGAUUCAC